rnacentral:miRNA from 1 species
GUCCCAAAAUUCUUGUUUUAGAUUUGUCUAGAUAUGAAUGUAUCUAGUCACGUUUUAGUAUUUUGAUACAUCAAUUUGUAGACAAACCUAAGACAAGAAUUUUGGGAC